rnacentral:rRNA from 1 species
UACGUAGGUGGCAAGCGUUGUCCGGAAUUACUGGGCGUAAAGGGUGCGUAGGCGGUCUUUUAAGUCAGAGGUGAAAGGCUACGGCUCAACCGUAGUAAGCCUUUGAAACUGAAAGACUUGAGUGCAGGAGAGGAGAGUGGAAUUCCCAGUGUAGCGGUGAAAUGCGUAGAUAUUGGGAGGAACACCAGUUGCGAAGGCGGCUCUCUGGACUGUAACUGACGCUGAGGCACGAAAGCGUGGGGAGCGAACAGG